AAGAAAGUGGCAGAGUGGCCUUGCAGUUGGCUUGAAACCAUCCCACGGGGGUUCAAUUCCUCCCUUUCUCG
rnacentral:tRNA from 1 species